CCUGUAGUCUUCCCCGCCUCACUGGAAGCUCUACGCCCUCUGGAGCCCCGCCCCUCCCCCAUCAUGUGUCUUGGCUUGAGCCAACAUCCUAACUCAGAACAACAGAAGGUGUGUGGGAGCACUGUGUAUUCCUUGUAUAUGUGUGUACCUGGACUGUGGAUUUCCCAUGUGGACCAGCAUUCAGGAGUGUGCUGAGGCCAUAGCACAUGUCUUCCUGGAAACCAGUAUUCUACUAACAGCCUUCAGAUGGUGAAGAACUCUCAGCUCCUCCUGCACCGUGCCUGCCUGGAUGCUGCCAUGCUCCUGCCUCAGUGAUAUGGACUGAACCUCUGAACCUAUUAGGACAGAAUUUCCAGCUGUUUCUGAAAUGAUCCUAAAUGGACUGCCAUUCGGUACUGCUGAUUUAUGCAAAGAGGCAUUGACCCUCAUAGACCCAAAAUAUCAAUCAACUCUGAAAAACGAAAAUGUUAUGUGCCCUGCAACAUCAAACAUUCAGCCAAGACUUAAUUCCUUGUGUUGAAAUAAACAAGUAUGCUCUUCUCAUUAGUAUGCAAAUUUUCUAUUGUGUUUAAUAAAUGGUAAAAUUAUCAAUGUUACAAAGAA
rnacentral:lncRNA from 1 species